GGUCAGAUAGUGCAAUGGUUAGCACGCCUGAGUACAAACCAGGAGACCCGGGUUCGAUUCCACUACAUCCGCCA